rnacentral:lncRNA from 1 species
AAUAAUGAUGGCACUGGGACCAGUGUGGGAGUGGCACUGGGACCAGUAUGGGGCUGGCACUGGGACCAGUAUGGGGCUGGUGUGGGGCUGGUGCAUGGGUGGCACUGGGACCAGUAUGGAGCUGGAGAGGGGAUGGUGCAUGGAUGGCACUGGGACCAGUGUGAGAAAGGCACUGGGACCAGUAUGGGGAUGGCACUGGGACCAGCAUGAGAGUGGCACUGGGACCAGUAUGGGGCUGGCACUGGGACCAGUAUGGGGCUGGUGUGGGGAUGGUCCAUGGAUGGCACUGGGACCAGUAUGGGGACAGCACUGGGACCAGUAUGGGGCUGGUGUGGGGCUGGUGCAUGGGUGGCACUGGGACCAGAAUAAGGGAGGUACUGGGACCAGUAUGGGGCUGGUACAUGGAUGGCACUGGGACCAGUGUGAGAAAGGCACUGGGACCAGUAUGGGGAUGGCACUGGGACCAGUAUGGGGAUGGUACAUGGAUGGCACUGGGACCAGUGUGCGGGUGGCACUGGGACCAGUAUGGGGCUGGAGUGGGGAUGGAAUGUGGGUGGCACUGGUAUUGCAGUGGGGAUGGCACUGGGACCAGUAUGAGAAAGGCACUGGGACCAGAAUAAGGAUGGCACUGGGACCAGUAUGGGGCUGGAGUGGGGCUGGUUCAUGGGUGGCACUGGGACCAGUAUGAGAGUGGCACUGGGACCAGCGUAGGCAAAGUAUGGGGAUGGAAUGUGGGUGACACUGGUUUUGGAGUGGGAAUGGCACUGGGACCAGUAU